rnacentral:rRNA from 1 species
GUCUGAUUAGCUAGUUGGUGAGGUAACGGCUCACCAAGGCGACGAUCAGUAGCUGGUCUGAGAGGAUGAUCAGCCUCACUGGGACUGAGACACGGCCCAGACUCCUACGGGAGGCAGCAGUGGGGAAUAUUGGACAAUGGGCGCAAGCCUGAUCCAGCCAUGCCGCGUGGAUGAUGAAGGCCCUAGGGUUGUAAAGUCCUUUCGGCGGGGAAGAUAAUGACGGUACCCGCAGAAGAAGCCCCGGCUAACUUCGUGCCAGCAGCCGCGGUAAUACGAAGGGGGCUAGCGUUGCUCGGAAUCACUGGGCGUAAAGCGCACGUAGGCGGACUCUUAAGUCGGGGGUGAAAUCCUGGAGCUCAACUCCAGAACUGCCUUCGAUACUGAGAGCCUUGAGUCCGGGAGAGGUGAGUGGAACUGCGAGUGUAGAGGUGAAAUUCGUAGAUAUUCGCAAGAACACCAGUGGCGAAGGCGGCUCACUGG